GUUCCUACAGGGCAAAUUUUCUUGUUCAUCACCUUAUGCUUAGCACCUAGCUCAGUGCCCAGCAGAACCAACAUUAGAUACCCGUGGAAUGACUAGGAGUGAAAAUGGUGCGGAUGGGGAUCAGAAGCGUGGAGGGAAUGGCUGCUGCUGGGCUAGAUGCUAUGGAAGGACACUAGAUUGUUAACUAUAGGAAGCUCUUCCUGAAUUCCUCAGGCCUCAGAGAAGCUGUUUUCCCAGUGCCUUAAUAAGAACUUGAGCUCUGGAGUUAUACUUGAGUGGCAAGGCAAAGGACAAAUGACCAUGGAGCAGUUAGCCACCAAGGGGCUCAGAGGUUGAGUUAGCGGACACUUGGCAUUCCUAAAAGGCUCCUUCUGACAAUCCAGUUGCUCAGAUUUUAUCAUCUUUAAAAACAAGUAUUUGCUAAGGUCAACUUUGAUGAAGCGGGAUCUGAACAGAAGAACAUACAAGCUGGAACUGGACUCCCAGAGAUUUCAUUGACAUCUUUAACCAGGAGACAUCCCGCAAUAUCUCUGUAAUUACUUACAUAACCCUCUCUCCUACUAAAAUGAAGAAUCUAAAGGGUAGAGAUGAUUUCUUAUUCAUCACACAUAUAGCAGACACUGAAUAAAUGAUAAAUCAAUUGAAC